rnacentral:rRNA from 1 species
GAGUUUGAUCAUGGCUCAGAUUGAACGCUGGCGGCAUGCCUUACACAUGCAAGUCGAACGGCAGCACGGGAGCUUGCUCCUGGUGGCGAGUGGCGAACGGGUGAGUAAUGCAUCGGAACGUAUCCUGGAGUGGGGGAUAACGUAGCGAAAGUUACGCUAAUACCGCAUAUUCUGUGAGCAGGAAAGCGGGGGACCUUCGGGCCUCGCGCUCUUGGAGCGGCCGAUGUCGGAUUAGCUAGUUGGUGAGGUAAAGGCUCACCAAGGCGACGAUCCGUAGCAGGUCUGAGAGGAUGAUCUGCCACACUGGAACUGAGACACGGUCCAGACUCCUACGGGAGGCAGCAGUGGGGAAUUUUGGACAAUGGGGGCAACCCUGAUCCAGCCAUGCCGCGUGAGUGAAGAA